UGGGAAUCUUGCGCAAUGGGCGAAAGCCUGACGCAGCGACGCCGCGUGAGCGAUGAAGGCCUUCGGGUUGUAAAGCUCUGUGGGGAGAGAAGAAUAAGGGUUGGCUAACAUCCAACCUGAUGACGGUAUCUCCUUAGCAAGCACCGGCUAACUCUGUGCCAGCAGCCGCGGUAAGACAGAGGGUGCAAACGUUGUUCGGAAUCACUGGGCGUAAAGCGCGUGUAGGCGGCUUGGCAAGUCGGAUGUGAAAUCCCACGGCUCAACCAUGGAAGUGCAUUCGAAACUGCCAGACUAGAGUCCUGGAGAGGAAGGCGGAAUACUCGGUGUAGAGGUGAAAUUCGUAGAUAUCGAGUGGAACACCGGUGGCGAAGGCGGCCUUCUGGACAGUGACUGACGCUGAAA
rnacentral:rRNA from 1 species